GAUGAACGCUGACAGAAUGCUUAACACAUGCAAGUCAACUGUGGCGGACGGGCGAGUAACGCGUAGAGAACUUGCCUCACAGUUAGGGACAACAUUUGGAAACGAAUGCUAAUACCUGAUACUGUGAGAGAGCUUUGCGUCCCAUUAGCUAGUUGGAGAGGGAACGGCUCACCAAGGCGAUGAUGGGUAGCCGGCCUGAGAGGGUGAUCGGCCACAAGGGGACUGAGACACGGACCUUACUCGUACGGGAGGCAUCAGUGGGGAAGAUGUGACAAUGGACCAAAGUCUGAUCGAGCAAUUCGGGGUGCACGAUGAAGUUUUCGGAAUGGAAAGUGCUUUCAAUUGGGAAGCGGUACCAACAGAAGAAGUGACGGCUAAAGACGGGCCAGCAGCCGCGGUAAUUC
rnacentral:rRNA from 1 species